rnacentral:rRNA from 1 species
UAUGUAUUGUGUGCCGAGCCGCGGUAAUACGGAGGCUCCAAGCGUUAUCCGGAUUUAUUGGGUUUAAAGGGUGCGUAGGCUGUUUGAUAAGUUAGAGGUGAAAUACCGGGGCUCAACUCCGGAACUGCCUCUAAUACUGUUGAACUAGAGAGUAGUUGCGGUAGGCGGAAUGUAUGGUGUAGCGGUGAAAUGCUUAGAGAUCAUACAGAACACCGAUUGCGAAGGCAGCUUACCAAACUAUAUCUGACGUUGAGGCACGAAAGCGUGGGGAGCAAACAGG